AACGAACGCUGGCGGCAGGCUUAACACAUGCAAGUCGAGCGCCCCGCAAGGGGGGCGGCAGACGGGUGAGUAACGCGUGGGAAUCUACCCAUCUCUACGGAAUAACGCAUGGAAACGUGUGCUAAUACCGUAUACGUCCUUCGGGAGAAAGAUUUAUCGGAGAUGGAUGAGCCCGCGUUGGAUUAGCUAGUUGGUGGGCUAAAGGCCUACCAAGGCGACGAUCCAUAGCUGGUCUGAGAGGAUGAUCAGCCACACUGGGACUGAGACACGGCCCAGACUCCUACGGGAGGCAGCAGUGGGGAAUAUUGGACAAUGGGCGCAAGCCUGAUCCAGCCAUGCCGCGUGAGUGAUGAAGGCCCUAGGGUUGUAAAGCUCUUUCACCGGCGAAGAUAAUGACGGUAACCGGAGAAGAAGCCCCGGCUAACUUCGUGCCAGCAGCCGCCGUAACAC
rnacentral:rRNA from 1 species